GGGUGAGUAACACGUGGAUAGCCUACCUAUAAGACUGGGAUAACUUCGGGAAACCGGAGCUAAUACCGGAUAAUAUAUUGAACCGCAUGGUUCAAUAGUGAAAGACGGUUUUGCUGUCACUUAUAGAUGGAUCCGCGCCGCAUUAGCUAGUCGGUAAGGUAACGGCUUACCAAGGCAACGAUGCGUAGCCGACCUGAGAGGGUGAUCGGCCACACUGGAACUGAGACACGGUCCAG
rnacentral:rRNA from 1 species